CUACGGGGCGCUCCAGUGAGGAAUAUUGCACAAUGGGGGGAACCCUGAUGCAGCAACGCCGCGUGGAGGAUGACGCAUUUCGGUAUGUAAACUCCUUUUAUAUGUCAAGAAAAUGACGGUAGCAUAUGAAUAAGCACCGGCUAACUCCGUGCCAGCAGCCGCGGUAAUACGGAGGGUGCAAGCGUUACUCGGAAUCACUGGGCGUAAAGGACGCGUAGGCGGGUUGGAAAGUCAGGUGUGAAAUCCUACAGCUUAACUGUAGAACUGCACUUGAAACUUCUAAUCUAGAGUAUGGGGAGGGGGAGAUGGAAUUAGUGGUGUAGGGGUAAAAUCCGUAGAUAUCACUAGGAAUACCUAAAGCGAAGGCGAUCUCCUGGAACAUUACUGACGCUAAGGCGUGAAAGCGUGGGGAGCAAACAGGAUUAGAUACCCUUGUAGUC
rnacentral:rRNA from 1 species